rnacentral:lncRNA from 1 species
AAAUGAAAAAAAGAAAAAAAAUGAUGAAAUAAAAAAAUAAAAUGAGAGAACCACCUAAAAGUGUUGCUUUCUGUUUUUAUUUUCGAAUGUGUAUCUCCCCCUGAUAUUACAUUGAUUAGGGCUUUUUAUAGCCGAAUGUAUAUGCUAUUUUUACUGUUUUAUUACAAUUUGCUUUCGUUCUGCUAGUGUUUCUAUUGCUAUUUCAGUGUCUUUCUCCUUUUUUGCCUUGGUUACAGGUAUUGGCGAAGUCAACGGAGGCGAAGAUUCCAACUUUUUGCCGUUUUGGUGCAAGGUAGCAGAGGGGGUCAGGUAAGCCUCGGGACGACGCACGGGCGGUGUGCCCGAGGAGGAGCGGCGCACAUGGGAGCAACAGAGGUUGCGACGCAUUAGGGUUUCUGCCCUUUUUUCUUUCUGAAAAUGUUAAGUGUUUUGGGUUGUUGGGCCUUAGGGUUUUUUUAUUUUUUAUUUUUGGGCUUGUAAUUUAUUUUUUGGACUGUUUAGUUAUUUUGGAAAUUGGGUAGUUUUUUGGUUUGGGCAAGGGCAAAAAUAGCCUAUUAUAGCUGCCCUUCUUUGCUUAUUGUCGUGUAACGGAAAUAGAGCAAAGACAUCAAAAAGGGCCAAUUUUGCCUGGUCUGAGAUGAGAUUUGUAGCUUCAACCCGCUCCACUGCAACUUUAGGGGAAUAAGAUUGGUGGCUUUAAUCUGCUCUAUUGUAAUCUCAGGAAGAUAAGAUUCGCCAUAAUUUGUAGCUUUAAUCUGUUCCACUGCAAUGCCAGGGAAAUAAGAUUCGUUGUCUUUAGUCUACUCCGCUGCAACUUCUGGGAUAUAAGGCUAGUGGCUUCAAUUUGCUCCACUGCAACUUUAUGAAGAAAAAAUUCGCCAUAAUUUGUUGCUUUAAUCUGUUCCACUGCAACGCCAGGGAAAUAAGAUUCGCUAUCUUCAGUCUGCUCCGCUGCAACUUCAGGGGGAUAAGGCUGGUGGCUUUAAUCUGUUCCACUGCAACUUCAGGAAGAUAAGAUCCGCCAUAAUUUGUAGCUUUAAUAUGUUCCGUUGCAACGUUAAGGAAAUAAGAUUCGUUGUCUUCAGUCUGCUCCGCUGCAACUUUAGGGAGAUAAGGCUGGUGGCUUUAAUCUGCUCCAUUGCAACUUCAGGAAGAUAAGAUUCACCAUAAUUUGUGGCUUUAAUCUAUUCCGCUGCAACGCCAGGGAAAUAAGAUUCGUUGUCUUCAGUCUACUCUGCUGCAACUUCAGGGAGAUAAGGCUAGUGGCUUCAAUCUGCUCCACUGUAACUUCAGGAAGAUAAGAUUUGCCAUAAUGACUUCAAUCCAUCCCACUGUAACUUCAGGGAUAUAAGAUUUAUGGCUCCACUGAUCUGUUUUCUGGGGAACAUGACCUGUAGAAUCCAUUUCAUGGGCCUAGACUAGAAUGUUAUGAUCAGAAUGAAUCAAAUGCUCCUAACUAGAUGUGUAUGCAUAAUAUUUGCAAGAAUGUAAAAUGUCAUUUUUUUAGAAUGAUCCCUUUUUAAUGCUUGGGUUGCCAUUGCUCGUUGUUCAUUGUGGUUUUAUCACUGAUGUAUUAUGUCGCCUUCUUGCUCAGCUGGUAUCUUUGACAUAAAAUUCGAAGAAAUAAUCAUAAUUGAGAAUCUUCUUUCUCAAAUAUUUCCAACUCUUUAAUUUGGUUAGUUCUAAAUAAUAGUCCUGUUUCAGGUACUCGUACUAUUUAGAAGCUUUCAGAUUAAUAUACAGAACUUCUUUUGUUUGAAUAUUAUCAAUCCAUUAAUCGUUAUUUCAAUGAAAAUUACUUGAAAAAGAUUAUUACAAUGGACAAGAUGAAAUUUUAUUGAGAGUAAAGCUCGAAAUGAAUAAAUUAAACACAAUAGCAAAUUUUGCUAAGAUACGAAAUGAAUAAGAUGAAAAUAGGUGCCCCAGAUAUUGUAGCAUGAGCUUCUCUGUACAAAACUUCUCGAGGGUCCUUUGAACUUGAUAAGUGUUUAGAAGUCCUAGAAGACUUUGUUGAUGCCCCAAGAUGUAGCAUCCCUCCUUCUUGUUAAUUUGGAAAGGACAAGACUACCACAUACCCCACCUUUGAUCAAAAAUUUGAAUUGCCCAUUCCUGGGUUUUCAAUUCAAAACCCAUUUGGUCUCAAGGCGCCCUUUGCGGGUUUUCACCUUGGCCUCUCCUUUUUCUUUUUUCUUUCUAUUCUUUCCUUUUUCCUUAUUUUAUUUUAUUUUUCUUUUUUUUUAAAAAUAAAGUAUUUCUUGAUUGAAUCCUAAUUCACAAGAUUAGGCAGAUUCUUUGCCAUCCAUCUCGGUCAAAAUCAGAGCUCCUCUAGGAAAGACCUUCUUUACCACAUAAGGUCCUUCCUAGUUUGGCAUCCACUUUCCUCUGAAGUUCUCUUGUAUGGAAGGAUCUUUUUCAAAACUAGACCCCACCCAUGGAAUUCUCUAGGGCGAACCUUUUUGUCAUAAGCUCGCAUCAUUCGUUUUGGUACAUUUGACCAUGACGGAUAGCUUUCAACCUCUUUUAUUCAAUCAAGUUCACUUGAUCAUAUCGAGAUUUGAUCCAUUUUUCUUCAUCCAUCUUCAGCUCAGCCGACACUCGAAGGGAAGGAAUCUCAACUUCGAUGGGUAAAACUACCUCCAUUCCAUAGACCAAUGAGAAUGGAGUUGUCCUGGUAAAGUUUUUUUUCCUCCACUGCACCGUUCAAUUUAGGGUGAUAUGGUGUUAAUCUUGAUCAGACUGUAAACUUUUGAUAUCGUGCUGUUGUUCAAAUUUUGUGCAUUGUCAGAUAUGAUCCUUUUUGACAUUUCAUACCGACAUAAGAUUUCUUUUUUUCUCAAAAAUUUACUGACUGUCGGCUUGGUGACAUUGGCAUAUGAAGAAGCUUCCACUCACUUAGUGAAGUAAUCGAUGAUCACAAAGAUGAAUCGAUGACCGCUAAAAUCUUUUGGCAAGAUUGGCCCAAUGACAUCCAUGACCCACAUAGAGAAAAGCUAUAGAUUCCAUUGAUUCUUUGUAAGGUAGGAUAUGUUUCUCAUCUUGUUUUACCAUCCUUAACAAAUCAGGAGACAAGCUACAUUCUCGGUCAUCUUCAAAGUCCUGAGGUUCCGCUGGACACAUAUCUUGCUCAAAAGGAGGUUUUGAGUCAAUAGCAGUGUCGCUCAUAUCAUUGAUAUCUAGAGACCUGUUAUAGGGAUGAAGGGAUAUCCAAAGAACAAAAGAAUCUAAGAAUAUUUAUCUGUAUAGUAUGAUUAUGAAUAAAAUGGUAACAAUAAAAGAAUAUUUGCUCGAAGUGAGAAAUAAAGAUGCAUUUUAUUGAAAUAAAGAUGUUAGACAUAAGCCUAUCUCACAAAGGAUUCUUAUUUCCCCUAGGCUUAGAGCAAUAAGCGUGUUUUAGACAUUUUAAAAAAUACAGGGAUCCCUUCCACAGUCCUAUUGUUCAAAACACUCUUAGAUAUGUAAGGGCAAAUGCCUGAUAAAUUAUCUUUCCCGGCUCCCUCUUCGGAUACGGCGUUAACAUUCAAAUUCCCCAACAUUCCUUUCGGGACUUUGACUUCUUCAAGGAAUUCCAACUCUUUAUUAUCCAUUAGGCUCUGCACCAAAGUUUUGAAUUCAGCGCACUCUUGGAUUUCAUGACCUUUUUCAGCGUGGAACUCACAGUAGCUCAUCAUCAUUUUUGGUCUCUUCUCUGAAUUCUGAAUGUUUAAUCCCAUGUCUAUCAUUUGUUUCAAAACCCAUUUCAGUAGGGUUUUUACUUCUGCAACAUCUGUCUUGAUUCUCCUCCCUGCACUCUCGAUUAUUGUGUUUACCUCUUUGUCAGAAUGGUUAGAUAACAUAUUUUUUGCACUAGAUGGAUUAUCGAAUUUCACAAUACCCAUUUUGAUGUGUCUUUCGAUUAUCUUUUAGAAAGCGGUGUAGUUCUCAAUCGAGUGUCCAGUGAUUCCCACGUAGUACUCGCAUUGGACAUUCGCGUCGUACCAUUUGGAGUAUGGGGGCUGCAUAGGUUUUACAUAGAAAGGGGAAACAACAUGUGCAUCAAAUAAACUUUGGUACAACUCCCUGUAUGUCAUUGGAAUAGGCGUAAACUGGGGCUUCUCCGUUCUUUGCCUAGCAUUAGACUCUUGUCUUGGUCGGCCUUGAUGACCAGUGAUUAUCCUUCUCGUUUGGCUCACAGUGACUGGCUUCGAAUAACUCUUGUUAUACGUGGUUACAUUAUUCAUGUUGUUUUCUCUUUUCCUUAGGGACUUUAAAGUAUUGAUUUGGGAGCUCCACUCCCACCUUUUCCAUUUAUAAUGAUCUUCAAAUUGUUUUGGGAGCUUUACUCUUACUUGUUUUGUUUCUGCUAGAUCAUCCAAAUCAAUGACAAUAGGAUUGGUUAGAUUAUCCCCUGGGUUAGAACCUGAACCUGUCAGGAAGUUCACCGGUAUCGAGGUACCGAUCUGGUGUUGGGGUCUAAUGUUAACAGACAUCAAUUGUGGACACACGUUUGGUUGCGCUUGGGUGUUUGUUGGGGUAAAGGCUGGAGGAUAAGCAGGGUCCUCGUCAUUGUCCCUGGAAUUGACCAUAGGGCUCUUUCCUUUUUCUAACCCUCUAGCCAGCAACUGGGUUAACUGGCUCAUCACAUUUCUUUGGAAUUCUAGCAUCUGAUCCCUCAUAUCUUGUUAAAUUUUGGCCAAUUGCUCUUACAUCUGUAUUUGCAUUUGUUCUAAUCUCUCUAACCUUUGGUCAAUUUCUUUAGUUUUUCCUCGUAUAUAGAUAUUCCAGGAUAAUUCCCAAGAUUUUAGGGUCUUUUUGUGAGACUUAAUGCAUAUGAUGCAAUGCAAUGUUAAUACAUGAAUGUAAUGAAUGCAAAAAAGAGAAAAGAGGUGUUGAUUCUAAUUCAAAUAUAAUAGAACAACUUUACUAGAAAACAAAUCUCUUUACAUAAAAUGAAUAUCUACAAUACGGCCUUGCCCUAAUACUCAAAGUGAAGGCAUCGAUAUCCGUAUGUUAAGAUCGAAUCUCGUGAACUUUUCAAAGGGGUGCCUCCUCUAUUUCCUUUUUUCUUGAUCUAAGUCGCGUCCCAUUGUUCACUCAUCCUCGUGAGGCUCGUUAGCUUUUUUAAAAAAUUUGAGAUGUUAACGACUCUCGAAUAAUCUAUGUCAGUUUGAAUCUACGGGCAACGAAGCAAAGUCGGAUGUUCAUUCAUCAGACUAUUACCUUUCCCUCGUUACAUUUUCUCGGACCAUAUUGUCUUCCACUUUAUCAAGAAAUCCAUUUUCCAUGACCAGAUCUUUAUUUAGCAAUUGAACGUGAAUCAACACCUUUAUUCUAUGAGGAAAAUGCAAUGCAAUCAUAACCAAAACAAAAGAAAACACGUUAGUACAAAAACAUAAAUAACAAAAAGAGCACCUAUUUGGAUGACCACUAGGGGUUCGGUGCGGUUCUCUUAGGGCUCAUUAUAUAAGGUUCGAUUCUAAAGUAAAUGUACUCGAACUGGCAGAUUCCUCGAUCCUCACCCAUUAUAGUGGGAUACAUAUGGCCAUGCGAAGAUGAAAAUCUCACGGAGACAUAUGUACGGAUAUAUCCCGAAAGCGAUUCACUAUCCCAUGCGGAGGUGAAAACCUCACGAAGGAGUAGUUCACUUAAAAAGGGUAUAACCAAACGAUCAUGUAAUGCAAUGUGUAGAAACAUAUCAAAAAUUCAAACCAAAAUGAUCGUAACAAAAACGGAUGAAAUGCAACAAAAUGAUCGUAAAUUUAAACCAAGUUUUCAAUUUUCGACAAAAACACAAAAAGUAAUCAACACGUGGCUUGACUCUCUUAUUUUUAUUCCCCUGCGGAGUCGCCAAGCUGUCGAAACUAUUUUUUUUGUAAAAGGAGUCGACUUUAAUUUUGAAAACGAAAACGAAUAUAGGAGUCGCCACCAAUCUUUUUUUGAUGAGCUGUGAUCGGGUCACCUCGUAAAACGUUUGUUUUUAAUAAACGGUUUGGAUUUAUUAAAACAAUGCUUUUGGUCUAUGAAAUUCAGAAAAAUAGGUUCAGGAGUUGGUUACGUGCGAGAAUGGAUUAGCACCCUCAUAAUGCCCAAAAUUGGUGCCUAGUUGAUUAAUUAGUGUCUUAGUGUCGAAAAUUAAAAACUUUGAAGGGAUUAAAAAUACGACCCUUUUGUUAAAAUAUUAAAAAUUUUCGAGAAAAGGGCAUAUUUUACGUUAAUCGAGACAGAGAAUUACGUCCCGUAAGUUAAGACACAAUGUCUUGAAUUCCCAAUACGAGAAUAAACACCAAGAAAUUUACUUACAAAAAUGCAUUUGAUCCUUUCGGUUUUAGGAAGGAAUCGUAUUCCGUAAGUUAGAACACGAUUUUUCUUAAUUCCUGAGAUUAUUUAAAAAAAUUGCUUUAAAAACGUUCGUUUAUUUGGAUUUAUCAAGAAAAUCGAAAUCCCGUAAAUUAGGGAACGACCUUUCGAAUUUUAAAGUAUGUAAUAUUGCUUAUUUAAAAAAAAUGAAAUUUUAUGUAUCGGGUGAAGAUUAAUGUAACACGAUUUUAUAGUAAAAUGUAAAAAUAUAUUACGGUGCUAGUACGCACAACGGACUAAUAACAAAUGUGUUAAUAUAAAUAACAAUAAUACGAGCAAGAAUAAAGAUAAGAUAAAUAAAUAAAAAAACUAAUUAUAAAAACUAAAUAAACAAAUAAAAACUAAUAAAGUUUUUAAAAAAAUUGAAAAUAAGAAAAUGAAUAAAAGAAUGAAAAUAUUAAAUAGAACAAAUUAAAAGUGAUAAUGAUAAAAAUAAUAAAAAUUAAAAAAAAAAAAUAAUAAUAAUAAUAACAACAACAACGAUGGUUAUCCUAAUUUUCAAAGUAUAAAAAGAUAGAAAUAAAUAAAUAAAUAAUAAAAUGAUAAGAAUAAGGGUAAUAAAAAAAUAAAACAAGUCUAUUAAAAAAAAUUAAGUAAAUAAAAAAAGAAAAAGAAAUAAAUAUUAAAUUAAAUUAAUCAGUUUAAUAAUAUAAAAACAAUAAUAACAAAAAGGAUUAACUUAAAAUCAAAACGAAAUUUUGGGUAAAAACUGAGAAUGAAAAUAGGGUGAAGGACCAAAUUACAUCGCGCGAAUAAGAGGGAAGGACCAAAUGGGGAAUUUUCCCUUGUCCUCCAAAACGCGCAGUUUAAAUAUGGACCAAAUUGAAACAAAGAAAAAAUUAUGUGGUAAAAUUAAAAGAAAGAACAAAAGAACAUGACUAAAUUGCAAAGCGUUGGAAAAGUGGAAGGAUCGCAUGCGUAAAUAGCUCCCUUUCACCGUAGAAACAAGCGAAUCAUAUGGGCAGAAGGGUCGGAUCAUGGGUCAGAGGCCAAAACGACGUCGUUUUGGCCUCUAAGGACAACCUUCAAAAUGGCGCCGUUUAGACCAACUAUAAAAGUCAGAUUCUUGCCAAAAAAAUCAUUUAUACCACUCUUACAAAAAUUGCAAAACCCUUUCUAAAUUCACUCACUCUCUCUCAAAGCCCCCCAGAAUUCGGCCUAGCUCCGGUCGUCGGCCGCCGUGUCAACUGCCAGUCAUCGGCGUCGGCUCCACCGUAGACGGCGGUCGGGAAACCGAAUACGCUCUGAUGACAGCGAUAAAGGUAAAAAGCCUCCUCUUUGUUUCGUUUUAUUAUAUUUCAAAAUGAAAAAAAGAAAAAAAUGAUAAAAUAAAAAAAUAAAAUGAGAGAACCACCUUAAAGUGUUGCUUUCUGUUUUUAUUUUCGAAUGUGUAUGUCCCUCUGGUAGUACAUUGAUUAGGCCUUUUUAUAGCCGAAUGUAUAUGUUAUAUUUACUGUUUUUUUACAAUUUGCUUUCGUUCUGCUACUGUUUCUAUUGCUAGUUCUGUGUCUGUCUCCUUUUUUCCCUUGUUUGCAGGUAUUGGCGAAGUCAACGGAGGCGAAGAUUCUAGCUUUUUGCAGUUUUGGUGCAAGGUAGCAGAUGGGGUCAGGUAGGCCUCGGGACAAGGUGCAGGCGGUGCGCUCGAGGAGGAGCGGCGCACAUGGGAGCAGCAGGGGCUGCAACACAUUAGGGUUUCUGCCCUUUUUUCUUUAUGAAAAUGUUAAGUGUUUUGGGCUGUUGGGCCUUAGGGUUUUUUAUUUUUAUUUUUGGGCUUGUAAUUUAUUUUUUUGGACUGUUUAGUUAUUUUGGAAAUUGGGUAGUUUUUUGGUUUAGGCCCAGGCAAAAAUGACCUAUUACAGUUACGCCAAGAUUUUAACAUAACAUCUCAGAACUUAGGGUGCGUCAACCAACUAGAAAGAAAACGAAAGGAUUGGACUCUUUCCACUGACCUCUCUGGAUGCGUCGAGAUCAACAGUGGCUGAUGGUUAGACUUCAACUUGUGUAGGUGUCGCAUAGUUGUGUUAGAUGCAAAUUCCUACCGAUACUCAUUGCAAAUAGAUCGACCCAAUCUUUCAAAUAAAUUUCUCUUAUUCCAUGUGAA